GUGGGGAAUAUUGCACAAUGGGCGAAAGCCUGAUGCAGCGACGCCGCGUGAGGGAUGACGGCCUUCGGGUUGUAAACCUCUUUCAGCAGGGACGAAGCGCAAGUGACGGUACCUGCAGAAGAAGCACCGGCUAACUACGUGCCAGCAGCCGCGGUAAUACGUAGGGUGCAAGCGUUGUCCGGAAUUACUGGGCGUAAAGAGUUCGUAGGCGGUUUGUCGCGUCGUUUGUGAAAACCAGCAGCUCAACUGCUGGCUUGCAGGCGAUACGGGCAGACUUGAGUACUGCAGGGGAGACUGGAAUUCCUGGUGUAGCGGUGAAAUGCGCAGAUAUCAGGAGGAACACCGGUGGCGAAGGCGGGUCUCUGGGCAGUAACUGACGCUGAGGAACGAAAGCGUGGGUAGCGAACAGGA
rnacentral:rRNA from 1 species